UGAGUAGCCUGCCCUUAACUCUGGGAUAAGCCUGGGAAACUGGGUCUAAUACCGGAUAUGACUCCUCAUCGCAUGGUGGGGGGUGGAAAGCUUUAUUGUGGUUUUGGAUGGACUCGCGGCCUAUCAGCUUGUUGGUGAGGUAAUGGCUCACCAAGGCGACGACGGGUAGCCGGCCUGAGAGGGUGACCGGCCACACUGGGACUGAGACACGGCCCAGACUCCUACGGGAGGCAG
rnacentral:rRNA from 1 species